ensembl:piRNA 21ur-2488 ncRNA
UCACAUAGACGUAUCUUCCUC